rnacentral:lncRNA from 1 species
GCAUCAACAUCCACUGAAGAACCAGAGAAGUGUGAGGGCUGGUACAUCUCACACAGUGCAAAGCACAAAGACACCCAGCACAGAGAGAAGCUAGGAUGUGAGUUUUUUCAGGAAGCUCAGGUGCCACCUCGUGUUCCUGUGCAUACCAUAAAAUACAAGAUCUCGAAGAUCAAAGUUUUCACUCCACCAGCGGGAAACAGCUGGCACUGCUCUGGGAAUCAGGGCUGUAGGUCCCCUUCCAAAGCAUGCCACCUACCUGUUCUGGGAUUUCUGUGGAUGUACCGUGCCCUGCAAGACGGAUUUGUUCCCACAUCUUGUGGGAUGAAGCUGUUAAAGCUCAAAGUCAGGGCUGGCCCCAGAACCCGCAUGCCCUGCCUACAUCUCUGUACAGUGCCUGGGACUCCAUGGCUUUAUUACAAUGCAAGCACUAAUUAACAGCCCAAGCAGGCUUUGUGCAACAGUUGCCAAGCCAAGUUCUUUGCCAUGAGCUGAAUCACUUGCCCUGCUUAGUUUUAAGUUCCUCGUUUACUGCAAUGUAGUAAGGUAUAUCACACAAAUUUUUAGAGGCACAGCUCCACUCCACUAGUUAUUUGGAACAGCAGCAAGUCAUCAUAUGCUUGUCCCUGUGCUCUGAUGAGCUUUGAACUUUAAUAAAUGAUUAAUCCUAUUUAGAAGUAACUUAGCA